rfam:Triticum aestivum genome assembly, contig: Triticum_aestivum_CS42_TGACv1_scaffold_362350_4DS
AAAGUACUGCCCCCGUCCCAAAUUUCUUUUCUUAGAUUUGUCAAAAUACGGAUGUAUCAAUUCACGUUUUAGUAUUAGAUACAUCCGUAUCUAGGCAAAUCUAAGACUAGAAUUUUGGGACGGAGGGAGUACACA